rnacentral:tRNA from 1 species
GAGGUGGUGGCUCAGAGGUUAAGAGCACUGACUAUUCUUCCAGAGGUCCUGAGUUCAAUUCCCAGCAACCACA